ensembl:misc_RNA
UUGAAGGCGUGGAGACUGAAGUCCUCUCUAUGUCCACAGAACAGGUAUGGCACAGGCAGUGACAGUGCAGCUUUUCCACUGUCCCACCAAUGUGCCUCAGUCCUAGCCUAGCGGGAACAUGUUUAGGGUAAGAGGCCUAUUCAGUCUCCAUAGCCUUCAAUCCUUGGCUACU